rnacentral:sRNA from 1 species
GGCACAUUCGUGGCAGGUGUGAUAGCCAGCAUGAGGGAGUGCCAAGGAUUUGCUCCAGAUGCAGAACUUCACAUUUUCAGGGUCUUUACCAAUAAUCAGGUAUCUUACACAUCUUGGUUUUUGGACGCCUUCAACUAUGCCAUCUUAAAGAAGAUUGACGUGUUAAACCUCAGCAUCGGUGGCCCGGACUUCAUGGAUCAUCCCUUUGUUGACAAGGUGUGGGAAUUAACAGCUAACAAUGUAAUCAUGGUUUCUGCUAUUGGCAAUGACGGACCUCUUUAUGGCACUCUGAAUAACCCUGCUGAUCAAAUGGAUGUAAUUGGAGUAGGUGGCAUUGACUUUGAAGAUAACAUCGCCCGCUUUUCUUCAAGGGGAAUGACUACCUGGGAGCUACCAGGAGGCUACGGUCGCAUGAAGCCUGACAUUGUCACCUAUGGUGCUGGCGUGCGGGGUUCUGGUGUGAAAGGGGGGUGCCGGGCCCUCUCAGGGACCAGUGUUGCUUCUCCAGUGGUUGCAGGUGCUGUCACCUUAUUAGUGAGCACAGUCCAGAAGCGUGAGCUGGUGAAUCCUGCCAGUAUGAAGCAGGCCCUGAUCGCGUCAGCCCGGAGGCUCCCCGGGGUCAACAUGUUUGAGCAAGGCCAUGGCAAGCUCGAUCUGCUCAGAGCCUAUCAGAUCCUCAACAGCUACAAGCCACAGGCAAGCCUGACUGGCAGCCCUAUUUGCCACAGAACGGAGACAACAUUGAAGUCGCCUUCUCCUACUC